AUACGGAGGAUCCGAGCGUUAUCCGGAUUUAUUGGGUUUAAAGGGUGCGCAGGCGGCCAUUUAAGUCAGCGGUUAAAUCGUGGGACUCAACCCCAUUCUGCCGUUGAUACUGGGUGGCUUGAUUGCGGUCGAGGUUGGCGGAAUUCGUUGUGUAGCGGUGAAAUGCAUAGAUAUGACGAAGAACACCGAUUGCGUAGGCAGCUGACCAGACCGCAAAUGACGCUCAUGCACGAAAGUGCGGGGAUCGAACAGGAUUAGAUACCCUGGUAGUCCGCACAGUAAACGAUGAAUACUUGUUUUCGGCGAUAUAAUGUCGGAGGCAAAGCGAAAGCGAUAAGUAUUCCACCUGGGGAGUACGCCGGCAACGGUGAAACUCAAAUGAAUUGGCGGGG
rnacentral:rRNA from 1 species